GUGCUUGCUUCGGCAGCACAUGCACUAAAAAUUGGAAGGAUACAGAGAACAUUAGCAUCCCUGUGCAAGGAUGACAUGCAAAUUCAUGAAGCGGUCCAUAUUAAAAA
ensembl:snRNA Gm22229 U6 spliceosomal RNA